CCCUGAGGCGGGCGCCUCCCUGAGUGUGGGUCGCGCAGGCAUCGGCCCUGCGUGGCUGAGCUGAGAGAUGUUUGUGUGGCGUGCUGCGGAUAUUGGACCUAGAGUCCCUUGAGGGAUGGUUGCCUGUGUUGAUGGCUGUUCUGCAUGUACCAAGCACUGUGUUGAUGGCUUUACAUUGCUGUUAUCACAAAUACUUCCUCACUGCCUACCUUGCACCGGGCAAGGUUUAUUACCGAGGACACAGCUGUGAACAAGGCAGGCACUUUCCCAGAAAGAUGGUGGUCUGGAGCUCCAGUGGCCCGAGGAGCUCUGGCUGUCACCCCUUCAACAGCUGCCUCGCUUGCAGCCCCGUGGCAACCUGUGGGCAGAACGCUCUUCUUAAGAGGCUAUUCAGGCCUACCUCCAUAUCCAGCUUCCUGCCUGGCCAGAAGACACAGUGCUCUCUCAGCCUCUCCCACUGUGUCCCCGGCUGCCCCAUCCCUGUAUUUCUCCAAAGCUGGGGUCAUUGUGACGCCCUGUGUUUCCUGGCUGGGAGCAAUCUCACACCUUCUCCUCUGUCCCUAUAGGCAUCAUGUAUGGUUUCUCACAAGAACCUCUCCUUGCAAAAACUAACCUGAAGCCCCUGAAAGAAGGAUCCUUGGAAACACAGAUCUUGCCCCUGCAAAGCCACUUUAGCUGGACAUGGAUGCAAAGAGAGCCCCAGACAUUCUGCGCGCAUGGCACAUCUUGGACAUUAUUCCAAAUAGAGUCAUCCUUUUUUAACCGCUGCAAAGAAUCCCAUCAUAUGGAUGAUCUGUAACAGGGGUCCCCAACCCCUGGGCGAGGACUAGCACCGGUCUGUGGCCUGUUAGGAAUGGGGCCACACAGCAGGAGGCUUCUGGAACUGUGAGAGAACACAUUUCCGUGGUUUUCAGCCAUCCAAGCGUUCAGAACUUUGUGACAGCAGCCUCUGGAAACAGCCUCGCAGCAGAAACCCACAUGGAAGGCAGUUCUGGAAGUGUGGCUCAGCCAGGCCCCGCAGGAGAUCAGAGCCACCCCAGCCUCUGAGAUGAAUGUCUCCUCCUCACGGAGUUUUGCCAAGCCCCCUCCCUAAACCAGGGAGCCAGUCCUCUGCCCGGCUCCUUCCUGGUGCCAACCACAGUGGCGAUUGCAUUGGGGCCCUGGACAGCCUUGCCAGGCUCCCUCAGGAGCCUGUCACUCCCUGAGGACAAAGCCCCAUGAGGUAGGUGCUGCCAUGAGCCCUAUUUUCCAGAUGAGGAAAACUGAGGCUUAGAAACAGUUAAGUGGCCCGUCCCAGAUCACAUGGCCAGCAUUAGAAAUGCAGUGAUAAGGAAGAAAGAGACUCUUCCAUGGAGAAAGACAACAUGUGGCAGAUAAAUAAAAGGGUUUGUAUUCCGAGGCUCAGUUGUCUGGGGCACGAGUGCUUGAAGGAGAAGAGAAGAGAAAAGCACACUGGAAUGCUUGCAUACGUGCUCCGGCAAGUUUGCAUCUGACUCUCAAGGCUGUUUCGUCACCUGAUCUCCCAGUGACUCUGAGAUGUGUGAUGAGUCCAGCUCAAGGAGUGGGGAGCUCAGGGGCAUGCCCACUGCCACUCAGCAGGGCAGGCUCUCCCUGAAGGGAGGGAAGAUGACAGCCAGCAGCAGCCCCUGACCUAGCAACCCCAGUGGGAGGAGAGACCCCUUUACCGGUAGUUCUAGCAAAAGUUCUAAAAGUUGAAUCUCACUGGCCUGGAUUAGGUCACAUGACUGUCACUGAACCCAUCGCAUGGGCAUCUCUGGUUGACCAGGCUGGGUCAUGUGCCCAGUCUGAAUUUUAGAGAAGAGGAUAGUUCAACCUGAAAUACAGGGACUGAUGGUGAAGAAGGGGCAUUUCUACUGAGGAAAACAGAGGAAAUCUUGGCCAGGCACAGUGGCUUAUGCCUGUAAUCCCAGCACUUUGAGAGGCCAAGAUGGAUGGAUUGUUUGA
rnacentral:lncRNA from 1 species